rnacentral:rRNA from 1 species
UCUGGUUGAUCCUGCCAGUAGUCAUACGCUCGUCUCAAAGAUUAAGCCAUGCAUGUGUAAGUAUAAAUAGUUAACUUUGAAACUGCGAAUGGCUCAUUAUAUCAGUUAUAGUUUAUUUGAUGAAGAAUACUAAUUGGAUAACCGUAGUAAUUCUAGAGCUAAUACAUGUAUAAAGUCUUGUAGACUGCAUUUAUUAGAAUGAAAACCAUAGGUUUCGGCCUAUUCGUGAGUAAUAAUAACUAAUCAUAUCGUAUGCUUAUGUAACGAUGUGUCUUUCAAGUUUCUGCCCUAUCAGCUUUCGAUGGUAGUGUAUUGGACUACCAUGGCAGUAACGGGUAACGAAGAAUUUGGGUUCGAUUUCGGAGAGGGAGCCUGAGAGAUGGCUACCACAUCCAAGGAAGGCAGCAGGCGCGUAAAUCACCCAAUCCUGACACAGGGAGGUAGUGACAAUAAAUCACAAUGCGGAACAAUGUUUUGCAAUUGGAUUGAGAACAACGUACAAACCUUAUCGAUAAACAAUUGGAGGGCAAGUCUGGUA